AUUAGGAAUCUUGCGCAAUGGGCGAAAGCCUGACGCAGCGACGUCGCGUGAAGGAUGAAAUCUUUCGGGAUGUAAACUUCUUUUACCAAGGAAGAAUAAUGACGGUACUUGGUGAAUAAGCCCCGGCUAACUACGUGCCAGCAGCCGCGGUAAUACGUAGGGGGCGAGCGUUGUCCGAAGUUACUGGGCGUAAAGAGCGCGUAGGCGGGUUCUUAAGUGAGGGGUGAAAGGUUCGGGCUCAACCCGGACACUGCCUUUCAUACUGGGAACCUUGAGUGCGGGAGAGGCGAGUGGAAUGGUCGGUGUAGCGGUGAAAUGCGUAGAUAUCGAUCGGAACACCCAUGGCGAAGGCAGCUCGCUGGCCUGUAACUGACGCUGAGGCGCGAAAGCGUGGGGAGCAAACAGG
rnacentral:rRNA from 1 species